GAUGAACGCUGGCGGCGUGCCUAAUACAUGCAAGUCGAGCGAACAGAUAAGGAGCUUGCUCCUUUGACGUUAGCGGCGGACGGGUGAGUAACACGUGGAUAACCUACCUAUAAGACUGGGAUAACUUCGGGAAACCGGAGCUAAUACCGGAUAACAUAUUGAACCGCAUGGUUCAAUAGUGAAAGGCGGCUUUGCUGUCACUUAUAGAUGGAUCCGCGCCGUAUUAGCUAGUUGGUAAGGUAACGGCUUACCAAGGCAACGAUACGUAGCCGACCUGAGAGGGUGAUCGGCCACACUGGAACUGAGACACGGUCCAGACUCCUACGGGAGGCAGCAGUAGGGAAUCUUCCGCAAUGGGCGAAAGCCUGACGGAGCAACGCCGCGUGAGUGAUGAAGGUCUUCGGAUCGUAAAACUCUGUUAUCAGGGAAGAACAAAUGUGUAAGUAACUGUGCACAUCUUGACGGUACCUGAUCAGAAAGCCACGGCUAACUACGUGCCAGCAGCCGCGGUAAUACGUAGGUGGCAAGCGUUAUCCGGAAUUAUUGGGCGUAAAGCGCGCGUAGGCGGUUUUUUAAGUCCUGAUGUGAAAGCCCACGGCUCAACCGUGGAGGGUCAUUGGAAACUGGAAAACUUGAGUGCAGAAGAGGAAAGUGGAAUUCCAUGUGUAGCGGUGAAAUGCGCAGAGAUAUGGAGGAACACCAGUGGCGAAGGCGACUUUCUGGUCUGUAACUGACGCUGAUGUGCGAAAGCGUGGGGAUCAAACAGGAUUAGAUACCCUGGUAGUCCACGCCGUAAACGAUGAGUGCUAAGUGUUAGGGGGUUUCCGCCCCUUAGUGCUGCAGCUAACGCAUUAAGCACUCCGCCUGGGGAGUACGACCGCAAGGUUGAAACUCAAAGGAAUUGACGGGGACCCGCACAAGCGGUGGAGCAUGUGGUUUAAUUCGAAGCAACGCGAAGAACCUUACCAAAUCUUGACAUCCUUUGACCGCUCUAGAGAUAGAGUUUUCCCCUUCGGGGGACAAAGUGACAGGUGGUGCAUGGUUGUCGUCAGCUCGUGUCGUGAGAUGUUGGGUUAAGUCCCGCAACGAGCGCAACCCUUAAGCUUAGUUGCCAUCAUUAAGUUGGGCACUCUAAGUUGACUGCCGGUGACAAACCGGAGGAAGGUGGGGAUGACGUCAAAUCAUCAUGCCCCUUAUGAUUUGGGCUACACACGUGCUACAAUGGACAAUACAAAGGGCAGCUAAACCGCGAGGUCAAGCAAAUCCCAUAAAGUUGUUCUCAGUUCGGAUUGUAGUCUGCAACUCGACUACAUGAAGCUGGAAUCGCUAGUAAUCGUAGAUCAGCAUGCUACGGUGAAUACGUUCCCGGGUCUUGUACACACCGCCCGUCACACCACGAGAGUUUGUAACACCCGAAGCCGGUGGAGUAACCAUUUAUGGAGCUAGCCGU
rnacentral:rRNA from 1 species